rnacentral:sRNA from 1 species
UGGGCGUGGAGGGUGGCCUCCGAGUCU